rnacentral:rRNA from 2 species
UGGGGAAUAUUGCACAAUGGGCGGAAGCCUGAUGCAGCGACGCCGCGUGAGGGAUGAAGGCCUUCGGGUUGUAAACCUCUUUCAGCAGGGACGAAGCGUGAGUGACGGUACCUGCAGAAGAAGCACCGGCUAACUACGUGCCAGCAGCCGCGGUAAUACGUAGGGUGCGAGCGUUGUCCGGAAUUACUGGGCGUAAAGAGUUCGUAGGCGGUUUGUCGCGUCGUUUGUGAAAACCCGGGGCUCAACUUCGGGCUUGCAGGCGAUACGGGCAGACUUGAGUGUUUCAGGGGAGACUGGAAUUCCUGGUGUAGCGGUGAAAUGCGCAGAUAUCAGGAGGAACACCGGUGGCGAAGGCGGGUCUCUGGGAAACAACUGACGCUGAGGAACGAAAGCGUGGGUAGCAAACAGG